ACUUUUAUAAGUUUAGUUAUUUUUAAAAUUUGUUGUUUAGAAAGAUUAAUAAAAUCUUAUUGGACUGGGGCGGUAGAUAUAAAUAAUUAACUGUAUUAAUAAAUUAUAUACAUUUAUGUAGAAAGUAUGAUCCUUUAAUAGAGAUUAGAAGAUAAAGUU
rnacentral:rRNA from 1 species